rnacentral:tRNA from 1 species
UGUCCUAUAGCUCAACUGGCAGAGCAAGCGGUUGUUACCCGCGAGGUUGCAGGUUCGAUUCCUGCUAGGACAG